GGACCCGCACAAGCGGUGGAGCAUGUGGUUUAAUACGACGCUACGCGUGGAACCUUACCAAGGCUUGACAUGUAUUUGAAAUCCUAAUGAAAGUUAGGACCUGUCCUAAAGACACAGAUACACAGGUGUUGCAUGGCUGUCGUCAGUUCGUGUCGUGAGAUGUUGGGUUAAGUCCCGCAACGAGCGCAACCCCUGUCAGUAGUUGCUAACCCGCAAGGGUGCACUCUACUGAGACUGCCAGUGUUUAACUGGAGGAAGGUGGGGACGACGUCAAGUCAGUACGGCCCUUAUGCCUUGGGCUACACACGUGCUACAAUCCCCGCUACAAAGAGACGCGAUACCGUAAGGUGGAGCAAAUCUCAAAAAAGCGGGGCCAGUUCAGAUCGAGGGCUGCAAUUCGCCCUCGUGAAGCCGGAAUCGCUAGUAAUCGCGCAUCAGACACGGCGCGAUGAAUACGUUCCCGGGUCUU
rnacentral:rRNA from 1 species